UGGUGGUGGGGGGGGGGGGUGGAAUUGAAAAGGGAAAAGAAAAUGACAAGAGUGCUUGUGGAAACAAAGUUUUCCCCAGAUUUUCUGUGUGUGCUGUUAUGCCGUGUGACAAAGGAACAUUUUCAGAAAUGUGUUUUUAAAAGUACAUCUGCUGAUAGAAAGUUUAACUUGCUGGGUAAACCAGGUGUAGUGCUGCUUUGCAUCAUUAGAGCAGCAAAACACAGUCAGCCCAAAGUAAUGAAUGUGGACCAAGACUUCUAAAGUUAAUAUUCACUUUUCAAAAGCUCCCUCUCCCUGCACUUAUUUUUUUGUCCUCCUCCCCAGCUCAGCACAUUAAAGGAAGUUCUUUUCUGGAUCCAUCUAUUUAUAUAUUAAACUUUUAAAUCACUGCAUUACUAGACAUUAAUCAUCACAAGGACUAUAUUUUCUUUCUGGGCUUAGGCUCUCAUUGUGUGAUGGCUUUCCUUAACAGGAGCCUUCAAAAUAGGGAAGGGAAGAAACUGAAGCUGACAAAUAAGAAACAGUAGCAAAGUUGGUGAGACUACUAAUAAAUAUAAGACUUUGAGUUAAGCUGAUAAUUUACUCUAACAAGGUCUUGUAUGGCUAGAAAGGAGUAUUUUCCCUGAAAGGGUUCAGAGACUGUAAAAGCAUAUAGAAAGCAAUAGUAUGUUUUGCCCAUGAAUUUCUUGGUGAUUAUGAAAUGUUGAGCUUGACCACAGUGGAGCCUGCAUAUCAUUAUUUAACUACAGAAGAGAUACAACAGCCAGCAAAACUUCAGUUCACCCUGUACUACUCUGCCAAUGUACCUCCACUCUGAUCUUCAGACACCUCUGUGGAAUGAGAGCAUUCUUUGGUCAUGGCCCAUUCAGGCUCUGGCUUUUUUAUUGAGAGGGUGCUAAUUACUGCCACCUGGGGGGGGUGGUUUUAGUGACAUGGGCACUAAGUUACUGAGAAAACUGGACUCAGCUCUCCAAACUAAUUUUUACACAGUUCAUCCACAAGCUAUCAGAAAGCUACAUUCAAUCGCUGAGCCAGCUAUUCUCUCCCUCUUCCAUACAGUUCAGUUGUAGUUUAGACAGAAAGAACAGCAGUGUUGUCACCUAGCGUGUUUGUGGUUGCUCUGUGAGAUGAAAGUAACUGUGUCCCAGUUGUGAUGACUGUAUCUUCAUGUCAUGACACUGCAUCGGUGUAUGACUGAAUCAUGCCAUAGCUCCCAAAAGAGACAUGUGAGCCUCUAUUCCAUAUGGACAGGAGAAGAGUAAGACCCUAAAAUAUUGGAAUUGUCCCACAUUUACAGUGAUGGAUAGUGGAAACUCUUGUCAAGAGGGACUUGCAGAGGUGUGACAUUUAUUUAUUUGUAUUUGUGGUGGUAACAGCAUGAUUUUAAAAACAAAAUAAAAUUUGUGAAAAAUGGUAGACAAAUACGACUAGCGCUGUGUGAGAUGUGAUGUUAGGCUAAUUGUGGGAUGUGGGAAAUGCCCAUGAUCCGUUUUAGUAGAAUAAUCACUAUUAAAAUCAUUACAGUUUUUUUACCUUUUCCUUAAUGAACCUAACUCCUUGCAAAUGGGUAAUUAUGUAACUCUUAACUUGCAAACUGUAAAGGCUUUAAUGGCAACUGCUGUACGAGCAUGAUUCUGCCUGACUAGCACUUCACAGUGCUUCAGCCCUGUUCUCGCCAAAUGCUAUGGCUCAAUUCCCUCUUUAAAGAAUAUUUUCUCCCUGCUCUUAAAACAAAAAUUCCAAUAAAACUCCCCAGUUCUCAGCAGCGGCUAGUAGCUCUGCAGUCACUCUGAAUACUGAAGUAGUAGUUGUCUUGGCUAAGGUUUUCUUUCCCUGAAGCUUCCCUCCUUGAGCCUCUCUCUACUGUACACAGAGCAAGAAUGGCAACCCUCAGAGAACAGCUUGGGCGCCCUUCUAACCCCUGAUUGGCUGCCCACCUCAUGUAGUUCUCACUCCCCCUCAGCCUCUAACUGGAUGCCCAUAAAAAAGUUUUUCGUUCCCCUUCAGUUUAGCAACCUAGUGGGCUCUGUCUACAGGACUGGUUUCUCUGCAGAAAGUCAUUCAAUAUACUCAUUUAGAACACUU